ensembl:antisense
UACUUUUGGGGGAGGAAAUAUAUUGACACCUGUCAAAUUCUUAUAAAUGCUGUUGAUUCUUUUACACAGUGUAAAAGUGUUUUUUCUAUAUUCAUUUUUUUGACUGAUUGACUAAUAUUUUCCCCUAAUUUGUGACUUUGCUUAUGACAUUUUUUUGGGGGGAGGACACAAUGGUCAACAUGUUUAACUAGGUGGGCCCUCUGAUGCUUCUUUUAUACAAUAGUUGGGAAAGGUUAUGCAGAAUAACCUCGAGUAGUCAAAUACAGCAGGAGAUCAUUGGCAACUCACCAGGUUCUCUUCUGGAAUGUUAGAACUUACUGGUCAGCCAACCAUGGAUGACAGUUGGAGCCUUUCAGUUUGGUGUGGGUCACAUGACUAGGUUCUAACCAGAGGGAUGCCUAUAAAAGUCACAGGCGGCGCCACUUUUGCAUCACGUCUGUCCCUAUGUCACUAUUUAAGGGAGAGCAAGACUGAGCUGCCCCUUAGAUCCACAGUUGGAACCAUAUGCUGCAGGUGGCGGAGCUACUACACUUAUCCCAAGUUCUGACAUAGCUUCUCCACCAUUUUGUUUAAGCCCUUGACUCUUUGGGACUGUUUAACAUAUAUGACUUGUGUCAUCUUGACACAAGCUCAAGUCAUCCAGGAAGAGGAGAACCUCAACUGAGAAAAUGUCUCCAUCAGAUCGACUAUAGACAGGCCUAAGGGGGCAUUUUCUUGAUUAGUGAUUGAUGGGUGGUGCCACUCCUGGGCUGAGGUGUAUAAAGAGCAAGCUGUGCAGAGCAAGUGGGUAGGCAGUGUUACUCCAUGGCUUCUGCUUCCGUUCCUGCAUCUAGUUCCUGCCUUGACUUCUCUUCAUGCCGGGACCUGUACAAUGAAAUGAACUUGUCCCUCCUCAGGUUGCUUUGGCCAUAAUAUUUAUCACAGCAGUGGGAAGCAAAUUAAGACAUGUCCCAACAGAUAUAUCAAACCCUUAUAACAGGGUUUAUUUGAGGUGCGUCCUGGCGUUAAUUGGCAUUUAUCGUUUCUGUUUGUCUUACUAGAGCUUGAGCUUAUUUGAUUUGUCGGCUGGUUAUAUGUUUUGUGUUUCUUAAAAUCCAAGGGCUAGCACAUUCAAGCAUCGUGAUUAGAAGUCUAUUCAGACAGGGUUUCAAUGAAUGAGCAGCAGUCAAAGCAGCACGGUGAAGGCAGGAUGCUUUGUUUUGUCAGCUGAUCCCUACAUUCACAGACAAUCAAGGACUAACUCAAGUCAGACUUGCCCAAGGUCUCCCGGUUGGUACGUUUCAGCAUGCUUGGGGCUCAAAGUCAGGUUGGUGUAAGCUUUCACCGUGCCAAACUUCUUCUGUAGAAGCCUCUGCUCAAUUACCAUUGCUCCAAACACAGCCAUUUCCAUAAAGUCUUAAAAGUUGUAGCAUCAUUUCUGUGCACAUGCAUUGAUUAUAUUCUAACCAAGUGUAUCAAGUUAUAUAAAAAGGCUGGGAUAUGGCUACCCCCAUCAUACUGCUAUCAAUUCAUUCAAAACACGGGAUAGCAAUCUAAGAAUAUAGCUUUCUAUGUGACACAGGAAGACACAGGGCGGAGUAGAAAAGACCAAAGGGACUCGCGUUUCUCAUUCUAAGUCUUUAUCUUUGCUAACACAUACAUGGACUUUGGUAACUUAGAAUACAUAUAAAACUGGGCAUGGUGGCCUGCCUGCAGUUCCAAUACUCAGGAGACAGAGGAAAGGAGGAUCAUGAUUUGACACACGUCCAAGCCAUGUGUGAGUUCAAGGCCAGUCUUAGCUAUCUAGUGAGCCCUUGUUUCUGAAAGAAAAUCAGAACAAAAAAAAAAGUGUACAAAAUGUAAAACACACUGUUGGGUCUUCAUUUAUAAAGGCAAAGUCGUGACAUGGCCUAGGCUGGCUUGAAAUUUGCUAUACUGUAGCUCAGGCUAGCCUUGAACUUGGAAUCUUCCUGUCUCUGCAUCUCCAGUUGCCAUGAUUAUAGGCUUGCCACUAUCAUGAAGUUUCUACUUUAAAGCUGUUAGUUAAUUCACUAAUAUCAGUGAUUAAUGGAUUGUUCUUUUUAAAUUAAAAAAAAAA